GACGAACGCUGGCGGCGUGCUUAACACAUGCAAGUCGAACGAAGUGGCGAACGGGUGCGUAAUACGUGAGUAACCUGCCCUCCUUUUUGGGAUAAGCCUUGGAAACGGGGUCUAAUACCGGAUAAAGGGGGCUGGGCUCGCGGCCUAUGGGCUUGUUGGUGGGGUGAUGGCGUACCAAGGCGGCGACGGGUAGCCGGCCUGAGAGGGUGACCGGGCACAUUGGGACGGAGUAAAGGCCCAGGCGAGUACGGGGGGCAGAAGUGGGGGAUAUUGCAGAAAGGGCGAAAGACUGAUGCAGCGACGCCGCGUAGGGGAUGAAGGCUUUCGGGUUGUAAACCUCUUGCGCUAUAGAAAGGGUAGGUGGAGAAGAAGCGCCGGCUAACUACGUGCCAGCAGCCGCGGUAAUAC
rnacentral:rRNA from 1 species